rnacentral:siRNA from 1 species
AGAAGUGUUUGCAUAGUUUAC